UUCCAGUCAAAACAAAUUUUUUCCAAUCUCAUUGUUAAAAAUUGCAUUAAAAUAUCAUGUUUAAAAAGUGACUUGAGAGGUUGUGUAAAACGUUAAUUUCAAAAUGGAACAUUAACUAUGAUAGGGCAAGUAUCUCUAUAAUAAUUGAAUAAAACAGUCAUUAAGAACCUAAUUUCUUGUGUAGCCUGUACGAUUUCAAAUUUUUAACUAAAUGAGGAAUCCACGUUCAGCUAAAUUGAGAGAAAAACGACAUUGCAUUAUUAAACUCAUUAAAAGAUAAACUUACGAAUUAAUUUAAAUUCAUAAGCUAAUAGUCUCGCAAACGCAUCUUCACCCACAAGGUGAAGUAAGUAAAAAUACCGGUUGAAACCGUGCUCGGGAAGCAAACCAACUGUUCAAUGGCGCUGGCCUCUUCCACCACGCAUUCAGCCUCCCCUCGUCCUCCAGCUGGCCGCAGCCAGGAGCUCCUUCCAGCUGCUGUCGCAGCACUGCAGGGCAUCCAAACAGUCCUAACUCUUCUACAGACACCCCAAUUAUGACACCGGUGUGCCCGAAAACCUACCCCAAGCCCUUGGGCUCACCGCCAACCUUCGAGUCACUGAAGCAGGUUCUGUGAUGCGGGGCUGGCUCAUGGUGACAUCAACGGGGCGCGGAGAAGGAGGUCUCAUGGUGACCAGAAGAAAAGGGAAUGGUGAAAUCAGUGAGACAAGACCUGUUUGGGUGGCAGAAGUUCUCUCCUGGUUCUGCAGACAUUUCUACUCCAACUGCCAUGGACAAAACCACGUUUGGAGACACCAGUAUAGACAGAGCAGCACUUGUUCAUUGGGAUUUCCUUCCUUUGACGAUUUCCAGAUAAUAAAAGUUGAGAGAUUAAAGGGAACCUUUUUAUUCUCUGUAUAGUUCUGCCAAUUAACCACAAUUACAUCCAAAAGAAAAAAAAGAUCACUAGACUUUUUAGCAGCUUUUAUGGCCUUGCCUCAAGCUAUUUGCUCACUCCGGUUCUCAAAACACCAUCUCCAGGCAGCAAGAAAACAAGCAGCAGGCACACCGUAAGCAGCACACUUUUCCUUCAGGUACUCAUCCACAUGUCAAGCAGACCAUUUAGGAGAAAAAUAACUUCCUUCUUCAUAUUUUUUCAGUGGCAUUACAUUUCAUUUGUGCUUGCCCAGACUUGUAUGUCAGCGGCUAAUAUAGUGGAGGCACUUUUGCGUGGCAUUUUAAGGAGAACAGAUACUACAGAACAAUGAACAAUAAUCAGGAUGUCUUAAAU
rnacentral:lncRNA from 1 species